UCUAAUUGUUUACCAUUUCUUUAUUUUUUUUCAUAUUACCUUCUAGACCGUGCAGUUCUUUGUUCUUUAUCACUUUCACUCCCAAAUUUCCUCUUGACCAAGAUUCAAAUUUCUUGAUUCCAGAUUACUUUCUAUUGAAUGUCUCCACCGUCAGGAAGCUAGGUCAAUUAUACAAUGACUGAGGAGAGACUAAGGGCUAGUUAUCAUAGCUAUAUAUUUGACACAGAAAGCACCAUCACUUUUUUGAGAGAUCAAAAUGAAGAGCUGAGUACGAAGAUGGAAGAAAUCAAGGAUGAGUUAUUAUAUUUGGAUAAUCUUAGAGGUAUGAGAGUUGAUUUUUUGAGGAUGAAAGCAGUCAUCAAAUCCUUGAAAAAGAAGUUAUCAGGAUUUGACAGCAUAAAAUUGUGCCCAACUGAUCAAGAAAAAUUGAAAUGUUAUCCGGUUUAUCAAAAACCCUUGGUGGAAUUAGCUAUGAAGGCUAGGGUUAUGAAUACCUCAUACGCAAUAAGACCAAAGAGGAGGAGGGAAUACGUGGAAUUGGAAAAGGGCAGCCUAAAGAGGGCUUCAAGUGUUUAAUUCUUUACUGUGUUCAGGUGGUGGUGGAUUCAAAAACAGAUUCAUUGGAAUCUGUCUGCACAAUGGAAAAGCCAUUCUUAGGAUCUUGUCAGAUAUCAUCUCUGUCUUUCAAAUACUCUUGCAAAUACUCUUAUGUUCUGUUAUUCAAAAACAUGGUAUGGGUAAAGAUGAGCUCAUGGUAAAUCAUCUUUAAAUUAUUGUUGUGAAUGAUCUGUUAUGCAGAGGCAUUAUAUUGAGUCUUUCCAGUUAAGCUUGAGUUCAUGAUAAAUCUUGGUCAGAAAAUAUGGUUUAAUUUGGUUAUUGAAAACCCACAUGAAAUGUUAACAUUGAGACUA